UCAAACUUGGUCAUUUAGAGGAAGUAAAAGUCGUAACAAGGUAACCGUAGGUGAACCUGCGGUUGGAUCAUUAACAUAGACCGGUUAGGAGCGAGGGAAGAGGCAAAUGGCCUCUGUUUGUUUUGGGGGUGGGUUGGUCGGUGCGUGCGACCAAUCUGAAAAGGAGGGCGAUAGCUGUGCUCCUUUUACCGUCUCUGGCGGUCGAGGCCGACAGAAAUCGGCCGCCAAGAUAAUUGGGAGCAUCGUGAAUCCCCUUUUUUGUGAUGGACUGCUGAACCCUCCCUUCGCUUCUUUGCUGGAGGAGGGGGGUCGUGAUGCACGUUGAUCUCUUUGGGUUUUUUUUUUAAAGAAUCGCCUGAAUAGAGAAAAUGAAUUGAAUUGAAAAGAAAAAACAACUUUUGACGACGGAUCUCUAGGCUCUCGCAUCGAUGAAGAACGCAGC
rnacentral:misc_RNA from 1 species